AUCCAGCUGAUGAAUCCUAAAGAGGACGAAACGUGCGUCAUUGAU
rnacentral:hammerhead_ribozyme from 1 species